GAUCAUGGCUCAGGAUGAACGCUAGCGGCAGGCCUAACACAUGCAAGUCGAGGGGCAGCACGGUGUAGCAAUACACUGGUGGCGACCGGCGCACGGGUGCGUAACGCGUAUGCAACCUACUCAUAACAGGGGGGAUAACACUGAGAAGUUGGUACUAAUACCCCAUAACAUCAGGACCGGCAUCGGUUCUGGUUGAAAACUCCGGUGGUUAUGGAUGGGCAUGCGUUGUAUUAG
rnacentral:rRNA from 1 species